rnacentral:rRNA from 1 species
UACGGAGGAUGCGAGCGUUAUCCGGAUUUAUUGGGUUUAAAGGGUGCGUAGGCGGAGUGCCAAGUCAGCGGUAAAAAUUCGGGGCUCAACCCCGUCGUGCCGUUGAAACUGGCGCCCUUGAGUGGGCGAGAAGUAUGCGGAAUGCGUGGUGUAGCGGUGAAAUGCAUAGAUAUCACGCAGAACCCCGAUUGCGAAGGCAGCAUACCGGCGCCCGGCUGACGCUGAAGCACGAAAGCGUGGGUAUCGAACAGG